GGAGAGAGCCAAAAGCUCAUUUACUCGAAAUCAGUUUGCGUGAAAGCGCACAUGGGUUCGAAUCCCAUCCUCUCCGCCA
rnacentral:tRNA from 1 species